GAACCUGCGGAGGGAUCAUUACCGAGUUUACAACUCCCAAACCCCUGUGAACAUACCAAUUGUUGCCUCGGCGGAUCAGCCCGCUCCCGGUAAAACGGGACGGCCCGCCAGAGGACCCCUAAACUCUGUUUCUAUAUGUAACUUCUGAGUAAAACCAUAAAUAAAUCAAAACUUUCAACAACGGAUCUCUUGGUUCUGGCAUCGAUGAAGAACGCAGCAAAAUGCGAUAAGUAAUGUGAAUUGCAGAAUUCAGUGAAUCAUCGAAUCUUUGAACGCACAUUGCGCCCGCCAGUAUUCUGGCGGGCAUGCCUGUUCGAGCGUCAUUUCAACCCUCAAGCCCUCGGGUUUGGUGUUGGGGAUCGGCGAGCCCUUGCGGCAAGCCGGCCCCGAAAUCUAGUGGCGGUCUCGCUGCAGCUUCCAUUGCGUAGUAGUAAAACCCUCGCAACUGGUACGCGGCGCGGCCAAGCCGUUAAACCCCCAACUUCUGAAUGUUGACCUCGGAUCAGGUAGGAAUACCCGCUGAACUUAAGCAUAUCAAUA
rnacentral:rRNA from 1 species